rnacentral:lncRNA from 1 species
GGUUAGGCUGCCUUCGCUUCUCAAGGUAAGGAAGUGGAGGAUUAAAUGAUUUGCCCAAAGUCUCACAGUAAUUUGUAGAGCUGAGAUUGAAAUUCGGGUGAAACUUCACAUAUCACAUUCUUUUUAUCAGAUGGCAGUUUCUGGAUUUACUCUUGGUACCUGCAUACUUCUGUUGCACAUUAGUUAUGUGGCUAAUUAUCCCAAUGGAAAAGUAACACAGUCAUGCCAUGGAAUGAUUCCUGAACAUGGUCAUAGUCCACAGUCUGUUCCUGUUCAUGACAUUUACGUGAGUCAGAUGACAUUCAGGCCAGGAGAUCAGAUUGAAGGUACCGUGCUGGGAUUAACUGUUUACAUUUUGGAUUUCACUCUUUUACUGUUUAUUGAAUCUUUAUUAUUACUUGAUUUAGAAGAUUUCACUUAAAUCUGUUUUCUUUUGUAAGAUACUAUCAUACUUCUUAUUUUUGGUUCCAGAUGACUGUAUUACUUAAGUAGUCUGUGUAUUCCCCAUCCAGAACAGGCUUUAAAAUAAGUUUUUAUCGUUAUUUACUAUUUUUAUUAAUUGUGCUAUCACUUCAAGAGAAGAGAAAAAUGAAGUUUAUUUUAUCUUGUUUAAAAUAUAAUAAACCCUUGUCCUUCUUGAUAUCAUAUAAUUUUAAGAACAAUUCUCUAAUUUCUCUGGUAAAAUGUAGGCUGAUUAUUAAAGAUAAAUCUAUAACAGCAUUUUGCAAACUAUUUUUUGCAACUCUAGAAAUGCAAAAUGUUAACAGGUACUCUGUUACAUAGAGAGUAUAUAGAAAAAUAAGUUUGGAAUAUUCUGUGUGAUAUAUAAUAUACCUUAGAGUUCACACUGUACAGUAGGAUAUUAAAUAUCCUAAGAAAUUUGCAGUAAAGAAACAAGUAUUUACUUUCAUCCAGUGUUUUUCUUUUUUUGUAAUUCAAUAAGAAUUUAUUGAGUGUCACUGUGAGCCAGACACUGUGUUAAAUACUGCAAUUCAAAAGAAAACACCUCAUGUUUUUUCCUCUAAUGAGGUCAAGUAAACAUUUUUUUUUUAAACUUUUAUUUUGGGUUCAGGGGUACAUGUGUAGGUUUGUUUAUAGGUAAAUUCCAUGUCACGAGGGUUUGGUGUACAGAUUAUUUCAUCACUCAGGUGAUAAGCAUAGUACCCAAUUGGUAUCAUCUAGCAUUUUCCAAACUAACUUAGCCUUAUGGACUGCCCCUGGACCAUCACCUAUUUUUCUUUUCUCUUUGCGGAAUGGCUAUUAAUAUCUCACAGAUUGAAUAUCUUAUGGAACACUGGAAAAAA